AUUUUACCCCUGGUUAUUUGUUAUAGUUCUAUUGUUUAUUUCUCUAACUACUUACAACAGUCACAAAGGUUAGACAGUCAUAAAAUAAAUGCAUAGUAGACCAUAUGCAGAACCUAAUAUAGGAUUCAAAUACUUCCUUGUGGGUAAUAAAUAACAUUGAUAUCGUAAUUGUUAGGUAGAUACUUUCUGUGUUUAGUCUUUUUGAAUUACAGGCUAAGAAGGAACAGAAAAAUCCAUGAUCAGAUGCUGUAAAUAUCAACAUUGACCCACUGUGUUACUUAAACUUAAUCCCUAUAGCCAAACAUAAUCUAAACAUCAUGCUAAAAAUGAAAUUCAUCUGUUUGCUUUUUUGUUUUGUUGUUUCCUUAAUAGGGCAAAGCAGACAUUUUGGUGGACUGGGAGCCCUGUCCAGUAUGUGAUGAGAUUUGGACCCAUCCCUGGCAGCCAAAGGAUUCUCUCCAAAUUAAUUAAAAUAAUUAAAUAAAAAUUGUAUUACACUAAAA